GAGAGAGACAUGCGCGCAUAUCAAUAAGCGGAGGAAAAGAAACUAACAAGGAUUCCCUUAGUAACGGCGAGUGAAGCGGGAAGAGCUCAAAUUUGAAAUCUUCAAGGUUUUACCUUGACGGAUUGUAGUUUAAAGAAGUGUUUUCUGCUGAAGUUUUGGUAAAAGUUCUUUGGAAUAGGACAUCAUAGAGGGUGAGAAUCCCGUAUUUGACCAUUAUUUUCAGCUUUGUGAUACACUUUCAAAGAGUCGGAUUGUUUGGGAAUGCAGUCCAAAAUGGGUGGUAAAUUUCAUCUAAAGCUAAAUAUUGGCGAAGAGACCGAUAGCGAACAAGUACCGUGAGGGUAAGAUGAAAAGAACUUUGAAAAGAGAGUUAAACAGUACGUGAAAUUGUCAAAAGGGAAGCGUUUGACACCAGUGUUGUUUUCUCGAAAAUCAAUUAAAAAUGGCUCGAUUUUGUAUUGUUGAGACCUUAAAAGCUCACUGUACAUUUUUCGUGUCUUUUUUAAUGCACUUUUCGUUUAACAAGUCGACAUCAGUUUCUUUUGUUGUAAAAGGGUCAUUGGAAGGUGGCUUUCCUUUUCGGAGAAAGUGUUUAUAGCCUUUGGCCUCUGCAAUCGGAGAGACUGAGGUCUGCAGCGUAGACUCUUCGGGGUUAGAUACAUUUGUGCUAAGUUAUAGCUUUUUAUAGACAACUUGUUGACUAUAAUUAGUCUUGUAGCUUACUCGCUUAUGCUAUUUUACCUACGCUUAGGAUGUUGAGUCGUAGAGCACGCAG
rnacentral:rRNA from 1 species